GGGACACGUGGUAUCCUGUCUGAAUAUGGGGGGACCAUCCUCCAAGGCUAAAUACUCCUGACUGACCGAUAGUGAACCAGUACCGUGAGGGAAAGGCGAAAAGAACCCCGGCGAGGGGAGUGAAAAAGAACCUGAAACCGUGUACGUACAAGCAGUGGGAGCACCUUCGGGUGUGACUGCGUACCUUUUGUAUAAUGGGUCAGCGACUUAUAUUCUGUAGCAAGGUUAACCGUAUAGGGGAGCCGCAGGGAAACCGAGUCUUAACUGGGCGUUAAGUUGCAGGGUAUAGACCCGAAACCCGGUGAUCUAGCCAUGGGCAGGUUGAAGGUUGGGUAACACUAACUGGAGGACCGAACCGACUAAUGUUGAAAAAUUAGCGGAUGACUUGUGGCUGGGGGUGAAAGGCCAAUCAAACCGGGAGAUAGCUGGUUCUCCCCGAAAGCUAUUUAGGUAGCGCCUCGUGAAUUCAUCUUCGGGGGUAGAGCACUGUUUCGGCUAGGGGGUCAUCCCGACUUACCAACCCGAUGCAAACUACGAAUACCGAAGAAUGUUAUCACGGGAGACACACGGCGGGUGCUAACGUCCGUCGUGAAGAGGGAAACAACCCAGACCGCCAGCUAAGGUCCCAAAGUCAUGGUUAAGUGGGAAACGAUGUGGGAAGGCACAGACAGCCAGGAUGUUGGCUUAGAAGCAGCCAUCAUUUAAAGAAAGCGUAAUAGCUCACUGGUCGAGUCGGCCUGCGCGGAAGAUGUAACGGGGCUAAACCAUGCACCGAAGCUGCGGCAGCGACACUAUGUGUUGUUGGGUAGGGGAGCGUUCUGUAAGCCUGCGAAGGUGUGCUGUGAGGCAUGCUGGAGGUAUCAGAAGUGCGAAUGCUGACAUAAGUAACGAUAAAGCGGGUGAAAAGCCCGCUCGCCGGAAGACCAAGGGUUCCUGUCCAACGUUAAUCGGGGCAGGGUGAGUCGACCCCUAAGGCGAGGCCGAAAGGCGUAGUCGAUGGGAAACAGGUUAAUAUUCCUGUACUUGGUGUUACUGCGAAGGGGGGACGGAGAAGGCUAUGUUAGCCGGGCGACGGUUGUCCCGGUUUAAGCAUGUAGGCUGGUUGUCCAGGCAAAUCCGGAUAAUCAAGG
rnacentral:rRNA from 1 species